ensembl:misc_RNA predicted gene, 27985
AGUGCGCCCUUUCCCUCUUGACUUUUUAGCAGUUCUGGGUAAAUAUUGAUUUGCCCCCAGUUUACCUUCUCCCUCACUGGCCAUUUGGAGACUACGGAACCAGCCUCAAAGACUUAAUUUUUGUGUUGCUUUCCGGCCCUUUCGUCCCCCACCCCUUCCUCCCUCCAAGUGGCAUUGUAAAAUUCUCAGUAACAAAGAGACAAAGUAGGGUUCGGAGCUCUGGUUCCUGGGGACUUCAGGGCAGUUUUACAUACGGGUCAGACGCGGCUGGAGGCCAAGGUCAAGUUGAAAGUUGCAGUCUAAGUCAGCGUGAGAAAACUGCCCUGCAAACCUGGAGACCAAGGCAGCUUCCAGAGGCCCACUGCUCACCUCCCCUCA